rnacentral:tRNA from 1 species
AUUUAAAUAAUUUAAUAUAAAAUAUUGAUUUGUGGUGUCAAAAAUAUGAUAAAUUCAUUUUAAAUU